AUUGAACGCUGGCGGCAUGCUUUACACAUGCAAGUCGAACGGCAGCGGGGGCUUCGGCCUGCCGGCGAGUGGCGAACGGGUGAGUAAUACAUCGGAACGUGUCCUUAAGUGGGGAAUAACGCAUCGAAAGAUGUGCUAAUACCGCAUAUCUCUCAGGAGGAAAGCAGGGGAUCGAAAGACCUUGCGCUAAAGGAGCGGCUGAUGUCUGAUUAGCUAGUUGGUGGGGUAAAGGCUUACCAAGGCAACGAUCAGUAGCUGGUCUGAGAGGACGACCAGCCACACUGGGACUGAGACACGGCCCAGACUCCUACGGGAGGCAGCAGUGGGGAAUUUUGGACAAUGGGCGAAAGCCUGAUCCAGCCAUGCCGCGUGAGUGAAGAAGGCCUUCGGGUUGUAAAGCUCUUUUAGUCGGAAAGAAAGAGUCAUAGUAAAUAGCUAUGAUUUAUG
rnacentral:rRNA from 1 species